GCCUGAAGAAAGGAGCUUGCUCUUUGGAUGAGUUGCGAACGGGUGAGUAAGCCGUAGGUAACCUGCCUUGUAGCGGGGGAUAACUAUUGGAAACGNUAGCUAAUACCGCAUAACAGCUUUUGACACAUGUUAGAAGCUUGAAAGAUGCAAUUGCAUCACUACGAGAUGGACCUGCGUUGUAUUAGCUAGUAGGUAGGGUAACGGCCUACCUAGGCGACGAUACAUAGCCGACCUGAGAGGGUGAUCGGCCACACUGGGACUGAGACACGGCCCAGACUCCUACGGGAGGCAGCAGUAGGGAAUCUUCGGCAAUGGGGGCAACCCUGACCGAGCAACGCCGCGUGAGUGAAGAAGGUUUUCGGAUCGUAAAGCUCUGUUGUAAGAGAAGAACGUGUGUGAGAGUGGAAAGUUCACACAGUGACGGUAACUUACCAGAAAGGGACGGCUAACUACGUG
rnacentral:rRNA from 1 species